rnacentral:rRNA from 1 species
UGGGGAAUAUUGCACAAUGGAGGGAACUCUGAUGCAGCGACGCCGCGUGAACGAAGAAGGCUUUCGAGUCGUAAAGUUCUUUUAUAUGGGAAGAUAAUGACGGUACCAUAAGAAAAGGCCCCGGCUAACUACGUGCCAGCAGACGCGGUAAUACGUAGGGGGCUAGCGUUGUCCGGAAUCACUGGGCGUAAAGGGUUCGCAGGCGGAAAUGCAAGUCAGGUGUAAAAGGCAGUAGCUUAACUACUGUAAGCAUUUGAAACUGCAUAUCUUGAGAAGAGUAGAGGUAAGUGGAAUUUUUAGUGUAGCGGUGAAAUGCGUAGAUAUUAAAAAGAAUACCGGUGGCGAAGGCGACUUACUGGGCUCAUUCUGACGCUGAGGAACGAAAGCGUGGGUAGCAAACAGG